GAUCCUGGCUCAGAUUGAACGCUGGCGGCAUGCUUUACACAUGCAAGUCGAACGGUAGACCCUUUCGGGGGUUGAGAGUCGGCGAACGGGUGAGUAAUGCAUCGGAACGUGCCCAGUCGUGGGGGAUAACGCAGCGAAAGUUGUGCUAAUACCGCAUACGACCUGAGGGUGAAAGCGGGGGACCGGUAACGGCCUCGCGCGAUUGGAGCGGCCGAUGUCUGAUUAGCUAGUUGGUGGGGUAAAGGCUCACCAAGGCGACGAUCAGUAGCGGGUCUGAGAGGAUGAUCCGCCACACUGGGACUGAGACACGGCCCAGACUCCUACGGGAGGCAGCAGUGGGGAAUUUUGGACAAUGGGGGAAACCCUGAUCCAGCCAUGCCGCGUGCGAGAAGAAGGCCUUCGGGUUGUAAACCGCUUUCGGACAGAAAGAAAUCGCAUGGAUUAAUACUCUGUGUGGAUGACGGUACUGUAAGAAGAAGCACCGGCUAACUACGUG
rnacentral:rRNA from 1 species